AGAAAAAUAAUGAAGGAAGAAGAAAUCAGCCUAAAGUACCUACGAAGGUGGCAUGUCGUGCGAAACAAAAUUCCUUGGAGCGAAGUAAUGAAAUUUGUCCAGCACGCAAUCUGAAUUUACCUGUGAUGGUUGGGAAAGAGGCAGCAUGUACUGAAGGAAGCAUGCAGGGAUCAACCAUGGAAGAGUUUGACCAAUAUGUGUUGUAUCAAGAAAUGAAGAAAGUAACUUAGCUU